rnacentral:rRNA from 1 species
GAUGAACGCUGGCGGCGUGCCUAAUACAUGCAAGUCGAGCGAACAGAUGAGGAGCUUGCUCCUCUGACGUUAGCGGCGGACGGGUGAGUAACACGUGGAUAACCUACCUAUAAGACUGGGAUAACUUCGGGAAACCGGAGCUAAUACCGGAUAGUAUAUUGAACCGCAUGGUUCAAUAGUGAAAGACGGUUUUGCUGUCACUUAUAGAUGGAUCCGCGCCGCAUUAGCUAGUUGGUAAGGUAACGGCUUACCAAGGCAACGAUGCGUAGCCGACCUGAGAGGGUGAUCGGCCACACUGGAACUGAGACACGGUCCAGACUCCUACGGGAGGCAGCAGAAGGGAAUCUUCCGCAAUGGGCGAAAGCCUGACGGAGCAACGCCGCGUGAGUGAUGAAGGUCUUCGGAUCGUAAAACUCUGUUAUUAGGGAAGAACAAAUGUGUAAGUAACUAUGCACGUCUUGACGGUACCUAAUCAGAAAGCCACGGCUAACUACGUG